GACGAACGCUGGCGGCGUGCUUAACACAUGCAAGUCGAACGAUGAACCCGGAGCUUGCUCCGGCGGAUUAGUGGCGAACGGGUGAGUAACACGUGAGUAACCUGCCCUUGACUCUGGGAUAACUGCGGGAAACUGUAGCUAAUACCGGAUACGACCCUCGGCGGCAUCGCCAGGGGGUGGAAAGAAUUUCGGUCAAGGAUGGACUCGCGGCCUAUCAGCUAGUUGGUGAGGUAACGGCUCACCAAGGCGACGACGGGUAGCCGGCCUGAGAGGGUGACCGGCAACACUGGGACUGAGACACGGGCGGGACUCCUACGGGAGGAAGCAGUGGGGAAUAUUGCACGAUGGGCGCAAGCCUGAUGCAGCGACGCCGCGUGAGGGAUGACGGCCUUCGGGUUGUAAACCUCUUUCAGCACCGACGAAGCGCAAGUGACGGUAGGUGCAGAAGAAGGACCGGCCAACUACGUGCCAGCAGCCGCCGUAA
rnacentral:rRNA from 1 species